UGUCACUGUCUUCAUCAAUCGACUCCACUGACUCACAGGAUACAGUAAUAAUUGAAGAAAGCUCUUCAAGUAAAAGAACGAGACUAGAUGAUGAAGCUAAAAAGUUGGUGGAAUCCAUUCUUGUCCAUAAACCUGGUGGAGAGCAUAUAAUAAAUGAAUACAACCGAUUUAAGACUUUGGGAGAUGAAACGAGGAGGAAAAUGGUGAACAUCCUGGCAGCUGACAUGACAGAAAAGAAUGGUACAUCACCACCAAGGCAGGUUAAAGAAAAAUAUGCCAGAGGAAUUGUCUCUUUGUUCCCUUACCUCAGUGACCCCUUGUCCAAAAAAGGCUAUGAGCAUUACUAUGAUGGUGAGAGUGGCACUGGGUACUUGGCAUGGAGAAUCAAAACUAUACAAAGAGGCCUGGCUAAAGAACGAAGAGCAUCAUUUG